AUUAGUAAGCGGAGGAAAAGAAAGCAACCGGGAUUCCCUGAGUAAGGGCGACUGAAAUGGGAGGAGCCCAGCGCAUAACCUCGCGGUCCCUGGCCGGCCGACGAGGGGUGUUGCGUUUCGGUGGACCCGCCCCGCUCGGGCCGUUUACCGCCUAAGUCAUUGCUUGAAAGCAGCCCCGCGGAGGGUGAUAGGCCCGUGUGGCGGCGCCUGUAAAAAGGGUAAAGGCGGCUCGGGCGGAGGGGUCUUCACCGUAGAGUCGGGUUGCUUAGUACUGCAGCCCUAAGCAGGUGGUAAACUCCAUCUAAGGCUAAAUACUACCACGAGUCCGAUAGAGAACAAGUACCGUGAGGGAAAGUUGAAAAGGACUUUGAAGAGAGAGUUCAAAAGGACGUGAAACCGUUAGAAGCUUAAACGGGUGGAACCGCGAAGGUCGAACGAGGGGAUUCAGCUCGUCGGUCUGCGGAAGCGGGCGGCGGUACAUGAGAAUUCCAGUGAGAGGACCCGGCGCAAACGACGACAUGCCGUGGCCCCGCCCCCGCCUCCGGAGUUGCCGGCGGGCUUACUUCUCCCUCCAGUAGGUCGCCGCGACCCGUCGCGGGGACCCCCAAGGCCGUCCCGGAUUGGUAGCCCAGGCGCAGCUCUGGGUGAUGACCGGCGGCGGUUCUGACGGGCCCCUGCGACGGUCACUGCCAGGAGGCCGCGUCCGCGCGGCCUCUCGCGGCGUGCAAGGGAUCGGUAAUCCACCCGA
rnacentral:rRNA from 1 species